UCCCAGUUGGUGAAAUGGUCAGGUGACCAAAUACAUUUGUCCAUAAAGUGUACCAAGAAGAGAAAUAGGCUGGACCACCUCUCUGAUGCACAGCUCCAGGUCGAGAAGGUAGUCCUUUUCAGUCUGCACCAGCUCCUGAAUGACCUUUGCCCUGCGGUUCAUCUUCCUCUGACGGAUCUCCUCUGGGUCCAGUGCUGGCGAGGGCGGCGUGGACAGGUCAUGUGGUGUCAUUUUCUCUGGUGUGCAAAGAGACCUCAAGAAUGAAUGGAAACCUCCACCCGUGAGAAAUGUCACCUUGAUGAGGCCUCAUUUGGAUCCAUGGCGAGGCCGUGAGCUCUCAGGUGCUCUCGGGCCAGUUGAGGGAAAAGAGAAAGGGAAGAGAGGGGG